UUGUCCUAAAUUAGUCUCAGGCCCCUUUGUACUGUUAAUAUUGAUUGUUGUUAGGUAUAAUGGAGCCAUGAAAUCCAUGUUCUUCUUCGAGACCCCUGCAAGACGACUUAUUUUUGUGAUGAGACCACAGACAUCAUACUUGUUACCCUUGUGGACACGAUACUUCUACAUCGUUGAUUUAAUGAUAUCUCCAUUGUUGAUAUUUAUAUCCAUCAUCUACUCAUACAAUAAGCACACGUAAUCUAGAAGGAUGUAUAUGAAAUAUAGGCUUGGUACUAGAUAUUUCAUCACUACCUUCAACGACGCCCGCGUGUCUUAAUGAUGUGAGAAUAUGAAAGAUAUUUGUGAUAUCUCUUCCUAUUGUGAUUUUUCCACUAGGCUAUGGACUCCGUUCCAUAUAGUAAAUGUCAGAUGGCUUGGUGGUGGGACCUCAUAUUCAGCCUAGUCAACAUCAAAAUAUAAAUUUUCUCCACAAUACCAAGAAUAUCAUUGAUUCUCGUGGGUAUAAUAGCAACAUUCUAACCACAAACAAUAAAAUAAUAAGCACGGGUUUUCGGCACCCAGUUGUCAUAGAACUCACAUAGUAUACUGAGGAAGCAUUCGUCCGGCUGAACAGAUUCAAACUCCAUUAUAAGAGCUCUUAUCCUCAUGAAGAUAUGCAGGAACUCACGAGCUAGGCUAUCCCAAUUAAUGCGGAUAUUGGAGAAUUAAGAAGCCACGAUGCUUCUGAUACAAACUUUUUCCUUCCUUCAACACGACCUUUGCUAUAUAUCCCUUGGUUUGCCUUUUAGGAAUUGGAGGUACUAUUUGUACAUUUCCGCUUCAUAUCCAGUUCCAUUGGGAAGGCUGAGCCACAGUUUGCCAGGACGUUGUGAUGUACACAUGGUACCUACAAGUUAUAUCAAAGUGUAACCCCAAGUGCAACAUCAAAAAUUAAUAUAUGGGUGGUGUGUGCAAUACCCCACACUUAGUCCAAGGUACGGGUGUUUUUGAAUAUCCUUUCAAUGGUACAAGAGCGAUAGAAAGGAGUGAUCGUCAAUUCAAGAUAAACAAUAUUGAUUCAACAGGUUUUAAUGAGUAUGAUAUAUAAAAUUUUGACAGAUCGUUGAUA